rnacentral:rRNA from 1 species
GUGCCAGCCGCCGCGGUAAUACAGAGGGGGCAAGCGUUGUUCGGAAUUACUGGGCGUAAAGGGCGCGUAGGCGGCCCACUAAGUCGAACGUGAAAUCCCUGGGCUCAACCCAGGAACUGCGUCCGAUACUGGUGGGCUCGAAUCCGGGAGAGGGAUGUGGAAUUCCAGGUGUAGCGGUGAAAUGCGUAGAUAUCUGGAGGAACACCGGUGGCGAAGGCGACAUCCUGGACCGGUAUUGACGCUGAGGCGCGAAAGCCAGGGGAGCAAACGGGAUUAGAUACCCGGGUAGUCC